ACAGCACAUUAGUACAGGAAAAAAAAAAAGGUUAAGCCUUUGGUCUGAGUCUAGAAUGUAUAGCUUGCUUCAUCUCCCAACCAUAAUCACCGUCCAACUUCCCAGGACAAAGAUGGCGAUGUCAGUCUUUCAGAGUUCCCGUGGGCAAGCCUGAUUUACAAUCCAUGGGUGAGAGAUGGAUUAACAUGUCACAUCACCUCGCAGCUAGGCACACCCUGUUUCUGACUUCCCUGGUUCUCCUCAGCACCUUCUGAGGCACGCCAGCUGUGGAGUGUGGGUCCUUAAGCUUGUGGCUUGGAUAUGGUUGUAAGGUAGUUUCCCGAAGGUUCAUGUGCUGAAAGCUUGGCCUCCUGAAUGCAAAUGGUAAGCAAAGGCAGGGCCUUUCAGAGGUAGGGCUUGUGGGAAAUGCUUAGGCUAGUUGCCCUGGGAUGUUACAUAUUCUUGAGGGAAACUUGUGCUCUCUCAGGUGUUGAAAGAGCCCGCUGGCUUUUGAAUUGCUCUCUGGCUUCUUGUUUUGGGACGUGAUGACUUCCUUCUGCCAUCAGCUAUGAGGUCAUCACCAGAGCGGAGCCAGUAAAGUUUAACUCUCUUCAGUGAGCCCACCUCAGGUAUGUUGUUAUAUUGUCAACAGAGGUUAUCUGGGCCUGUGGGAAUAAAUAUAUAGAACCCACUUAAGAGGGGACUCAGAGGGGAGGGAGAGGGUCUGGCUUUUAUAAAACGUCCACUACCUUCCCCCUCAGAAGCGGCUGCCUCUGGCCAGGCAGGCUUACUGUAAAGCACACAAUGGCAUGCUGGAGGCAUGGCCCCAGUCUGUGGGACCCAGAGGGAAAUAUGACUUCCAUAGUCAUCCAGUGAAGCUCUCUGAGCAUGUGGUGAACAGAAACUCCGGGACAACACCAGGACUGUACCAGGAUGUACUCUUUCAGAAUGACGUCUUGAUUAUAAAUCCAAAUACUUAAGAGAUUCACUAGGUCCUGAGUCACCUCAACCUCUGCUUCUACUGCCUAUGUCUUACCGUUCCAUUCUUCCUUUGGUGUCCUGCCUUUGUCUGAGUAGCUCCCCAUAAUCAGUGUUUGGUGAGAUGAUGGACUCACCCUCCCCAAAGUGCGGUUAAGCCUCUGGUCUGAGUCUAGAAUGUAUAGCUUGCUUCAUCUCCCAACCAUAAUCACCGUCCAACUUCCCAGGACAAAGAUGGCGAUGUCAGUCUUUCAGAGUUCCCGUGGGCAAGCCUGAUUUACAAUCCAUGGUGAGAGAUGGAUUAACACGUCACAUCACCUCGCAGCUAGGCACACCCUGCUUCUGACUUCCCUGGUUCUCCUCAGCACCUUCUGAGGCACGCCAGCUGUGGAGUAUUACCAAAGACAUGGACAUGCGCGUACUUAAGUCUUUGGCAGGCCCCCUCCUCGCCCCCAGAAUCACACAUAUCAAACCCACCUAGGCCUCUGUCAAUGGAAGGUCCAGCAGAGCCUGCAAACCAGCACUGGAAACUUUUAUGUAUUCUAAUGAUCCUCUAGCUGAUUUAAUGGGGGAGACAGUCGCUUCUCCAAGCUCAACAGCAAUUUGCAUUCAGAGCAGCUCAGCUGUCAGGGACCCGGAAUGCUUUCGCACUGAGCAUUUCCAAGUGACACGUGUGAACGCACAUGCCACAAGAAGUUCAGCUCCCCAGUGAGGCGGGGGAUGGUUCCAGAGCAGAGGGGACACAAACUUGGGAGACAAAGGUGCAUACAGAAUUGUUUUAUUUAACUUAACCCAUGUGGUACUUUAACUACUAGAAAAAAGCAGAGUAAUAGAAACUCAAGUGGCCUUGGCUUCAGCCAUUCAAAAUAGACAAAGUUUCUUUUUUCAUAAUGUAAAGAAUCCCGAGUAUGUCGCAGUAACAGGAAUAAAUUCUUACAACAGAAUAUACAAAAACAUUGAAUUUUUUCAUCUACUGAUUUUUUUAAAUAUAAACAGAGGGGUUUUUUUUAGGAAUAAUUUAUACACAGAAAGUUAUUUUAUGUAACAAAUUGGCCAUAUUAUUAUCUUUUUAAAACUUUUUUCUCUUUUUUAAGAAAAAAUUUUAACAAGAAAACUCAGAAAUGCAUUAUUGGCGAUGCAUCUGUUCCAUCUCGCCUUGAUUUUUUUUUUCUUCUUUAAAUCCCAGAGGUAGACAAACUCUGGCAAAUCUCUCCCUCAACCUCACUGGCUUAGGAAGCAGACAGGUGACGUCACCAGGCAGGUAUCUGUUCUACCUGUGUACAUGUCUGCCCAAUGCCCAACGUCCAUGAGAAACUGAAAAGACAAAUCCAAUCCAACCCAACCCACCAAUGGUUCCUAGACCUUUUUCCUGUAGAGUUAGACAGUUCCAGAUGUUUUCAACAAUGGUAUCUUCUGGAACUGUAGAGACAUGGCCAAUAAUGCACUGGGAGCCAAAGGACAUGGAUUUUUAACUCUUAAAAAAAAAAUGGGGGACAGGGAGACAUGUUGUGGUUUUUGUUAAGAGUUUGUUCUGUACUGGGAACAUGUACCUUCAGCAUUUGGCUUUAAAUACAAGUAGGCACAGCCUUCACUGGAAUCUGAGGCACCCUGUCAAUGGCCCGCACAUCAGAAUUGUUUGUGUGAUUACCGUGAAGCCGUUCUGCGUCCUGAAGCCCUCCCAUCUCUGUGGCAUCGCAGAAGUAGGACAAACACCAGCCACAUGAGCCAGAUGCCACCAGUGAACACCAUCCCACAUUGCUCAGUGGCCACACACUGCUACCUCCACAGCCAGCAGGGGUCUUGGUACUCUGCAUCUGUGUGGGCUGCUACGCCCCACGGGGAAACGAUCAGUGAAGAUGAUUCCUUCCCCAGCUAAGGGUUCCAAGACCAAGACACUGAAGAGUACAGGAGUACUUUCAAAACCACUGUCAUUCUUUUUUUCUUUCUUUCUUUUUUUUUUUUUUUUUACAAACUAGAGCACAUAGCAUGUGGGAAAGAGGGUGAACCACAGCUUGGGUGGGGGUGGGGGAAUUUUUUUUUUAAUUUUUUAAUUUUUUUUUGGUUUUUUUUUGGCAUAUUGUAAAGCUAGCUAGUAAACAAGUGUCAAAAAAAAAAAAAAGACCAUAAACACAUAUUUGCACACACAGAGGGGGAAAAAGUGUUUUUAAAUUAUUUCCAGCAAUUAUAAACUACAAACAUUUUAUAAAAUUAUUCUAUGUUCUUACAAAAAUGCAAUGAAACAUUUAAUUAGUUCUUGUAAACCAGAUCUUCGUCAACUGACUACCCGUAAUCUACUGGACUUAGAAGCAAGCCCUAUUGGAAACGAUAAUGAGUGACUAAUUAAAAAAAAAAUGUUUACUGGAAAGAUGCAGACACAAAUGUGGACACACAAAUCAGUGAUUAUGAAGUCCUCACAUAAACAAAAUAAAACCAAUCCCUAGCACGCCCCAGACCGACAACUCCACUGGUAAGUGUGAUGGAGUCUGAGUUCUUCAACACGAGGCUUAGCUCUAGGAGAAGUUUCCAGAGCAGGAUGCUACGUUUAUUAUCUGAAACCAAAUGCCCACGAUGACGCCACAGCCUCGAUGUAGUCUCACACCUUCAGAAACCAUCACGUCCAAAUAUGGUCCAUGCUUCUUCCAAGCCCUUUACGCUUCCGUCAGCAACUCUCUCCACGUCCUGAUCCCAGUUACUAUGGCUUCCUACUGCCUGGCCAUCCCAUCAUUCUAUCAAGGAAUGUUGGUUUCUCUAAAUAACCAACCGGCUGUCAGGGUCGGAGGCCCAAACCUGGCCUGUGCGAGGUUUCUAUCUUCAGCACCUCUGGCUGAAUACUUUCAGCAAACAUCCCGUCCUGAAGUUCUCAUUUGUACCAACACCUAGUUCAGAGUGGCGUGAGAAAGUUUUGACCAUCGUUACUGGUUUGUAAGGAGUGGAUCUCUCUGGUCCAGGUCUCCCAAUGCUGCUGCUCAGCCCAGGAAAUGAAAAGACAAACACAAAGUAAAAGAAAAUAAAAUAAAUCCAAAACCAUAAAUUGAUUACUGUUAAAAAUGGGCCAAAGCAUAUCAAUACGGUGGUCUUGUCACUGCAGGAUGUUGGUUUAGGAAAAGAGUUGCCUCCAACACAGCGUGGCCACUCUCCGAGGACCCAACAAUGACGACAGAGGGCCUUGGGUACGCAUGCUGGCCUUCUCACCCACCUGAGCUUAGUGUGACUUUGCCACAGCAGCUUGCUUGCUUCAGGUACAGUCACUGCCAACAGAGGUGGGCUAAAGUGGGCUCCAGGAGCUCACACUUGGCUUAGAACUUGGCAUCAUACAGAGCUCAUCCAUCUGUUAGCCUAUCCGGAAAAACACGACCGCAUACCAAAUACUGCCAUCUGCUCAUUUCACAACGAUCACUUGUCUAUCUUGUGAAGCCGCUUUCCCUACCUUCGAACUGCCCGAGUCCUAAGGAACAGGCUGGAGGGAGAGGCCGAUGAUGGCCUCCAACAGUCUUCUAUGUUCCGGAGAGGAAGCCUCAUUCCAACUAAGAGUCCAUGUUAUGACCUUCCUGAAAGGAGAUGGGGUUCGACUGUGUCUCCACAACUCAGCUCCUGCUGCCUCAAGAAAGGGCUUUGUGGGAGAACACCUUAAUGUUCACAUCACCAGAACGAUGUGCCUCAGUGGUUCACGUUACUUCAAGCAGUGUGAGCUGCUGUCAGGAAAGGAGGUUGCAUGAAAAAGGCCGUAACUCAGCUUGGUAAGAUUACUUGGAGCAUAUAGAGAAAAAUCAGGAGGAGGUGGGAAAAAUCAGCAUGAAAGUAGGCUAGAACUGUGGAUACGUGAUGUCUCGCAAUAGUCAAGAUGGGUAGGUCGGUCCAGCAAAAUGACUGCACCAUCAUACAAGCAAACUUUACUUUUUCUGAAGUGUUUUCUGGAGCAUUUGUUAUGAUGGGCACUACACUGUUAAGUGCUCUCUACUUGAAAGAAAAAAAAAUCUACAUAAAAAAAACACCAAGAACUUGGACAAUUAAAAAAAAAAAAACAACCCAAAAAUGAACCAGCUGAAUGAUCUGUAGAAAUCCAGUUAUGGAAACUGGUAGGUAUGUGCAAGAGAGGAGAGGCCACUAUACCAUGGGAUCACCUAGAGUGUAGAGGAAGAAAAAAACCCUGAUCAAACAGUAUCUCCCAGGGACCCUGUGAGCUCUUAGGAACUCAGAGAAGGGCGGCAGUCUGGCAGGAGGAAAAGGACUCCUGAGCUUAACUUGAAGUACCGAACUGUUAGGCAGUUCUCCACACUGGGGGAGAAAAAUCACCCACCCUGUUUCCCAGCUGAAGUCCCCAGGGCCUGUGAGAGCAGCUGCUGGAACUGAGGAGUGCACUGUCCACCCCUAUGAGCAGCAAAGUGAUGGGAUGGACAAGGCAGAGCACAGGGGAGGCUGUGUGCCAACCACUGGCUGUCCAGCCUCAAGGAGGUUUGGUCAGUCCUUGUUUAGCCCUGGGGGGACAGGGAGGAGGAAGGAGGUACAGCAGCCUGCAGGGGGUGCAGGCUUUGACCUGCCCCCCUUUAUCAUACUGGCCUUCUUUCAGAAGCAGGGGGAGGGCAGAGCUCUCUAACUGCUGACAUGGCUGUACCUGGGAGAGAAACCAAUGCAAGACAGCAAUGGCGGAUGCCCCUGCCACCGUGCAGGCCUAGAAGAGCGGCAGAGGGAACCCACAGGACACCCUACAUGUGCACACGUCGGGACUCUCAAUCUAUGUGUUGUUGGUGCCUCCUGCUCUCAAAACCUGGGAGUACCUGCUCUCUUGGGGAUGAUACAUGUCGGUCAUUCAAUCUGUAUAACGUUCUGUUCCAAGUCAGCCAGCUGAGGACGGGCAAGGGAACCCCUCCACCGGUGUGCUCUGGGCACAUGGGGGUGCUGGGUUGGAAGCAGGGAAACCUGGGAGGGAACCAGGUGAGGAAGAGAAUGACCAAAGAUGCCCCAGGAAAGGUGAGCUUUUGGAGAGGAGUGGGGGAGGCUGAGUGAGUUAGUGUUGCUUUGACCCCAGAAUCCAGCCUGGCCUCUCUCUGCUUCACCCGGGUAUGUGGCCUGUGGUGUGGAUGAGGUUACCAGUAUCAUUGGCCUACUGUCAGGUACUGAGAAGUGUGAGAUGUAUUGUUUUCUAUAUACCCACAUGAAAAAUAAGAGUGAGGUAGAUAAAUGUUUCAAAAACAAAACUCCCCCCAUCAAAAACUGUCCCAGCGCUCUCUCUCUCUCUCUCUCUCUCUCUCUCUCUCUCUCUCUCACACACACACACACACACACACACACACACACAUUUUCCUCAGUAUUUAAAUUCAUAAUGGGGGCUUCUCUACAGUGAUUAAAACAGGUAUCACAAAAUAAAUUAAAACUCCUACAUGUAAUACCUUCUUAAUAACAUUUUUUUUCUCUUUUUUUGUUAAGGGGAAACACUGUGGGGCAGAGGCUACUAAGAGCCGUGAGCCUGUAACUACAGACAAGCCAGAGAACUACAAACUUUCUUUUCUGUGUUUAAUCUCCUGUCUGCAAUCAUCAUCUUCCAGCUUUUUUUCUUGCUCAUAAUUGAAAUAUUUCCAUCCCAGAAGCAACUCUCAUGCUGUCACCACUCUGGUAAGAAGUAUUAAAAACUCAACAGGACCGCCAGGUCCACAGGUCUGCCAUUUUAGCUAAGGAACAGCAAAGGACCCCAGGGCUACCAUGGGGUCAGCUCUGCUCUGUCUGCUGCUCAGACCUUCUGAUCCGGGAAUGGGCUCCAGAACGCCACUGAGGCUGCGGCUUCUGGCCACGGGGUGUCGGUACCCUGCACCUUGCUCACAUGGAGGCCACCCAUUCAGACAUUCUGGUUUCAAAGACAGACGUAUAGAUGAAUAUCUGAACCGUAAAAAAGUUAUAAAAGUGACAUUGAAGACGAUGUGUAUGCAAAUGUUUCACGGUCUACCAUAGAACUGAGAGACCCAUGAAGAAGUCCUAGUAACAGGGACCAUGUCAACGCUGGGGUCCACUGCCUGCGCUGCUGCAUGCUGCUGUGCUGCUGCCUGAAGCCCUUCCUUGCACAUCUGCACCAACGGCUGGGCUGAGUCUCUGCAACCCCUGGGGGCCAGGAGGGAGCCUGGGGCAGGGGGAGGAAGCUGGUCUGAGGACCACCUUGACCCACAACCUGACCUUCAGGCUUGCUCAUGGCCAUCUCCUCCAGAAUUCCUGGGGUGCUGUGGUGGGUGGGGUGGGGAUAGGGGAGCCAGUUCAGCCGUCCCCAUCUUCAGUGAGGGCAGGCUCCAUCUUGCCCAGUUCUCCCAAACAGUAACCAAGUCGUCACAGAACAAUGAGACCCAGGGGGGGCGUGGGCCUGAAGAGCACACCGGGGCACAGUGGAGGCAUCGCCAACGUGUCCCUCGAACGGUAUUAUCGACUUGAUGCCAUGUGUCACCCCCAUGCCUCUGGACAAAAGGAAAUCAGCGCAGGGAGUGUGCGCAUGAGAAAAAAAAAACAAAAAACAAAAAACAAAACAAAACAAAAACAAACGAACAGAACUUUGGCAAAAUUUGGCAGCAUGAAAAUGAUAACAACCAUGGAUGAACAAUGGCCCUUUGAAAAUUUCAGAUGACCCUAAAAAGGUUAAAGAUACAGUUAAAAAAUUCCAUCUCAGUGUGUGCAUUUUUUUUCUCUCUUUUUUUUUUUUUUGUAAAGACCUACGGUGUCAGGCAGGUGUGUAUGGGGUGAUGAGGAGCCCCAGGGAUGGCCAUGAAGUCAAUCUGAGGCUUCCCAGCUGGGCUUUCAGCAAACAUUUUUCCCAUUGUGAAGCAGAAAAGAGGGAAAGGAGAGAGUGGAAGUAGAAGAGAGGAAGAGGAGAGAGAA